rnacentral:rRNA from 1 species
AAUAGAUACCCGGGUAGUCCACGCCGUAAACGAUGAGUGCUAAGUGUUAGAGGGGUUUCCGCCCUUUAGUGCUGCAGCAAACGCAUUAAGCACUCCGCCUGGGGAGUACGGUCGCAAGACUGAAACUCAAAGGAAUUGACGGGGGCCCGCACAAGCGGUGGAGCAUGUGGUUUAAUUCGAAGCAACGCGAAGAACCUUACCAGGUCUUGACAUCCUCUGACACCCCUAGAGAUAGGGCUUCCCCUUCGGGGGCAGAGUGACAGGUGGUGCAUGGUUGUCGUCAGCUCGUGUCGUGAGAUGUUGGGUUAAGUCCCGCAACGAGCGCAACCCUUGAUCUUAGUUGCCAGCAUUCAGUUGGGCACUCUAAGGUGACUGCCGGUGACAAACCGGAGGAAGGUGGGGAUGACGUCAAAUCAUCAUGCCCCUUAUGACCUGGGCUACACACGUGCUACAAUGGGCAGAACAAAGGGCAGCGAAGCCGCGAGGCUAAGCCAAUCCCACAAAUCUGCUCUCAGUUCGGAUCGCUACG